UUGGAGACUGGCAUGAAAGGUUUUAUUGGUUGAAUUAGUUUGUGUUGUUAGAUCAGAGAUUAAGGAUAAAGUAAGAACUCUUUAAUUUAUUAGGGGACGAUAAGACCCUAAAAGCUUUAUAAUCUGUUUAUAAGUUAGUGUUAAUAUCGAGUUUAAUUUGUUGGGGCAAUGUAUUUAUUUUAAUUAAAUAGAAAUUAAUGGAUCCUUUAAAUAAAGAUUUUUUGGGUAAGUUACUUUAGGGAUAACAGUGCAAUAUAUUUAGGGAGACCAGAUCUAUAAAUAUGUUUGCAACCUCGAUGUUGAAUUAGAGUUUCUAUGCGGGUAGAAUACGCACAAGAAAGUUUGUUCAACUUUUAAAUUUCUACAUGAUCUGAGUUCAAACCGG
rnacentral:rRNA from 1 species